UACGAGGGGUCCGAGCGUUAAUCGGAAUUACUGGGCGUAAAGCGUACGCAGGCGGUUCAUUAAGCUAGAUGUGAAAUCCCCGGGCUCAACCUGGGAAUUGCAUUUAGAACUGGUGAACUAGAGUCUUGUAGAGGGGGGUAGAAUUUCAGGUGUAGCGGUGAAAUGCGUAGAGAUCUGAAGGAAUACCGGUGGCGAAGGCGGCCCCCUGGACAAAGACUGACGCUCAUGUACGAAAGCGUGGGGAGCAAAC
rnacentral:rRNA from 1 species